AGCAGCCGCGGUAAUUCCAGCUCCAAUAGCGUAUAUUAAAGUUGUUGCAGUUAAAAAGCUCGUAGUUGAAUUUCGGGAUCAACAUGUCGGUCGUGCCUCUGGUACGUACUGUCAUCGUUGGUUUCUCCCUUCUGACGAACCAUGAUGUCAUUUAUUUGGUGUUGUGGGGAAUCAGGACUGUUACUUUGAAAAAUUAGAGUGUUUAAAGCAGGCUCACGCUUGAAUACAUUAGCAUGGAAUAAUGAAAUAGGACGUUUGAUUCUAUUUUGUUGGUUUCUAGGAUCGACGUAAUGAUUAAUAGGGAUAGUUGGGGGCAUUAGUAUUCAAUUGUCAGAGGUGAAAUUCUUGGAUUUAUUGAAGACUAACUACU
rnacentral:rRNA from 1 species